CAAGACCACAAUAGAAAUGCACAAAAAGGACCGAUCCAAUAGAAAAAUACAAUUGGUGAUGCUACAGACAGGAGCUUAGAAGCUUUCUCAUUUCUUCAUCUAGCUGCCUUCGCCGUGAAACUGCCGAUUCCGACUAUUAAGAGUGCGAAUGUCUUGUCCUCUGCCUCUAUGUGCUCAAAUCCUUUGAAAUCCAAACUCUAGAGCUCUUACGCAUCUCGAAAAAAGUGUAAUCUCUCCUUCCAUUCCCAGCGAAAGGUGUAGUCUCUUGGAGAAACUAAAAGCUUCAACUAUGGAGCAUCUAUAGUUGACGGUCGAGCUCCCAUUAAAGAUCAAGUACAUUUUAGUUAGCUUUCUUAGAUCUAAUUUCCCAUGGGUUGAAUCCCAUAAAGGGGAUUGAUACACCAUUUUCAUUUAAAUCCUCAAAAAAUUGCUAAUAUGUAUUGUUCCUGAUCUCCGAGGCACACAGGAAACCAUGGAAAGGCUUCUCGAGCUGGUUUGUUGACUAUUCUUCGAUUAUCGCAACUCAUUCUCAUCAAGGAUUAAGGUUGACUAUGAUCUCCACUUCCUUGCUUCUUCCCUUUUCUAGCAAUCUUCAUAAUCCUUGGUGAUAAGUCUGCUUUUGUGGCAAUGUUCUCCAGAACUUCCACCAGUGCCAUACAAUGCUCCUGAAGCUGAGAAUACUCUUCUUCUUCCUCCCUACUUGUACUCACCAAGCUUGCCUGAUUGUUGCAUAAUUUGUCACCAUGAUGUUGCUGCUUAUUGUUAUCUGUUACAAUUUCGUGUGACUGAAACGGGACCCUAGGACUUUGCUGAUCCACCUCCUGCAUAUCUCUAACUUUUUCAUCUACCUGGUGGGCAAUCUUUCCAAUUUGUUCCCCUACAAUCAGUUCUCGAUUGGAAGGUUCAUCAGGGUUGCUGAAAGUGGACUCACCAUGCAAAUCAGUCACAAAAGUUGUUGCCACCCAUUCCUUUGUUGACUGAUUAUUUUGUUCACCCUUUUUAGCUUGUAAUUCAGCAUUAUCAUUAUCAAUGUUAUGACAAGAUUCUUCUUCUGAAAGGUGGUCUUAAGCUAGAACCUCAAAUUUGUUCUCCACUCUGGUGGUUAGUUGAGGAGCAAAGACCCUUUUAUCCCUAACAAUAUUCCAUAUACCUGAAUCUCCAACUACUUUCCCACUUGACA